GAGAUUUCCCAUAACGUAAGUUAGUAAGACUCCUGGAAGACCACCAGGUUGAUAGGUGAGGGGUGUAAGCAUGGUAACAUGUUCAGCUGACUCAUACUAAUAAGUCGAGGGCUUGAUCUAAA
rnacentral:rRNA from 1 species